rnacentral:rRNA from 1 species
AUUGAACGCUGGCGGCAUGCUUUACACAUGCAAGUCGAACGGUAGCGCGGGCUUCGGCCUGGCGGCGAGUGGCGAACGGGUGAGGAAUGCAUCGGAACGUGCCCCGUCGUGGGGGAUGGUCAGGCGAAAGCCGGGUUACUAAUGCUUACGACCUGCGGGGGAAAGAGGGGGACCGAAAGGCAUGGAGCUCUUGGAGCGGUGGACGCCGGAUUUGUUAGUUGGUGGGGUAAAGGCUUACCAAGGCGAGGAUCCGCAGCUGGUCUGAGAGGACGACCAGCCACACUGGGACUGAGACACGGCCCAGACUCCUGCGGGAGGCAGCAGUGGGGAAUGUUGGACAAUGGGGGCAACCCUGAUCCAGCCAUGCCGCGUGCGGUAAGAAGGCCUUCGGGGUGUAAACCGCUUUUGUGCGGGAAGAAAUCCUCUGGGCUAAUACCCCGGGGAGAUGACGGUACCGGAAGAAUAAGCACCGGCUAACUACGUG